rnacentral:rRNA from 1 species
GACGAACGCUGGCGGCGUGCUUAACACAUGCAAGUCGAACGGAAAGGCCCUGCUUGCAGGGUACUCGAGUGGCGAACGGGUGAGUAACACGUGGGUUAUCUGCCCUGCACUUCGGGAUAAGCCUGGGAAACUGGGUCUAAUACCGGAUAGGAGCCAUUUUUAGUGUGAUGGUUGGAAAGUUUUUUCGGUGUAGGAUGAGCUCGCGGCCUAUCAGCUUGUUGGUGGGGUAAUGGCCUACCAAGGCGGCGACGGGUAGCCGGCCUGAGAGGGUGGACAGCCACAUUGGGACUGAGAUACGGCCCAGACUCCUACGGGAGGCAGCAGUGGGGAAUAUUGCACAAUGGGCGCAAGCCUGAUGCAGCGACGCCGCGUGGGGGAUGACGGCCUUCGGGUUGUAAACUCCUUUCGCUAGGGACGAAGCUUUUUGUGACGGUACCUAGAGAAGAAGCACCGGCUAACUACGUG